rnacentral:misc_RNA from 1 species
CGUCAGAUAGCAGGGGUGUGCUCCUGUCAAACGAGUUCCUACAGACAGAAAUUAUAGCAUUUUCUUGUUCUUACGAUCAGCGCUUGACUCACUUGUCUCAUUGUAGCAGUAGGGAGGACUUGCUGACCCCGUCCGCCAGUUGUCAGGGUGGCCGAGUGGUCUAAGGUGCAGACUCAAGGGCAAAGGCUUAUGUAACGAAGGCAUGCGCAGUGUACGUCACCAGUGCAUUUGAUCGGUCAGACAUCCACAUCCUCCUCCCCCUCCUCCUUCAUACCAGCACGCGAUCGUCUCGGUGAGCUUCAUUCCUCGUCACACAGGUACAUUUACCGUGAACUUACACUGUGGAGGAGCUUCACACUUCACAACAAUCAUGGCCACUACAGAGCGGGUGUUGGUGACGGGAGCAUCUGGGUACAUUGCGGGUCACGUGAUCAAGCUGCUACAAGAAGAGGGCUACAGUGUGCGCGGCACGGUGCGCAGUCUCAAAAACGAGGCCAAGAUCAAACACCUGCACAACCUGUGUCCUGGGGCCAAACAUCCGCUGGAACUCGUGGAGGCCGAUCUUGAUGUGGAAUCGUCAUGGCAACCGGCCGUGAAGGACAUGACGUACGUUGUUCACGUGGCCAGCCCCUUUCCCCUGGAACUCUCAGUGAACGAGGACGAGCUGAUCAGGCAGGCCAGAGAGGGAACUCUCGCUGUCCUUCGCGCAUGCGCCAAUGAGGGGAGCGUGAAGCGAGUGGUGCUCACUAGCUCGGUGGCUGCUGUGGACUACAGCCCGCAGUCAAACGUGAUUCCACUGACGGAAGAGAACUGGAGUGAUGUCACCAAAGUGGAUGCCUACUCCAAGAGUAAGACUUUAGCGGAGAAAGCAGCCUGGGUCUUUGUCAAAGACCUCCCAGAACAAAAGAAAUUUGAACUGGUUGUGAUCAAUCCUGCCUUCGUUCAAGGCCCGGUACUCCACGGUUCAUCGUGUACAAGUAUAGUGCCGAUUAAGCGAAUGCUGGAGAGACAGAUGCCCAUGUUGCCCGCACUCAACUUCAACAUUGUUGACGUCAGAGACGUGGCUCUUGCGCAUGUGCGAGCGAUGACGUUACCGGAAGCUGCCGGUAAUCGUUUCAUCUGCAGCAACGUCAACCUGUGGUUCAGCCAGAUGGCGCUUCUCCUCGACGCCGUCUUCAGACCUCAAGGUUACAACGUGCCCACUUGCACGGCCCCGAAGCUGAUUCUGCGCGUGGCCAGUCUGUUCGACAAGUCUUUGAGGUCGUUGUUACCGCAGGUUGGCGUCGUUCACACCUUCGACAAUUCAAAGAUGCGCCAGGUGUUGAAAGUGGAGCCACGUGAUGUGAGGGACACCAUCAUCGAGAUGGCCCACUCACUGAUACAGGGCGGCUUUGUCAAGACCACGCCCGGCUACCGCGGACCCGGCGGGCCGGAGGAACGUCAGCUGUACAUGGCAGUGAAGCUAUAGACAGUUUGAUGAACGUCAGCUGUACAUGGCAGUGAAGCUAUAGACAGCUUGAUGAACGUCAGAUGUAUAUGAUGUUUUGAUGAGCGUUAGAUAUACAUGACAGUAAAGAUGUCAUUAUUUC